rnacentral:lncRNA from 1 species
CCGCUCUUAAACAACCUUUAACAUUUCUAGCUAGAGCUCGGGUGAUUGUAAUUGUUAUCAUAUGGUUAACUUCUCGCACUUCUUGUGAAAGGUGAUUUAGGCAGUAUUUUUUGGUCAUUUUUAAGGCUAACAUUUCAAACAAGGCUCUGUGGAUUGGAACAGGAAGCACGAAGCAGGAAGAGAGAAGAGUCAACUAUCAUCUAAAUGAGCACAGACAUCUGCCAGUCCCCAGACACGCCUGGAAUGAGGCUCCCAUGGGCUGCACAGCCCCAGGCCCUGGCCACGCUGCCAUUGCCUUACCCCCUUCACCCUUUCUCCGGAUACACCUCUUCAUGGAAGGUGUCUCUUGGUGGUUCUUUAAUGUUCUGGGCAGAGAAUACAAGCCAGACUAAAGGAUCUCAGGUCUGUGGCCACUUAGAAGUGCCCUGGUGAGAGAGAACGAGGACAACCUUCACCGUGACGACUUUCCCAAGCUCGCGAUGUUCUGAAACACCCUGUGGGAAGCAGUAGGAAAAGCCUGUUACAAGAAGCUUGUUUUUAAUGCAUUGGAUAGAAUAUUGGUCAAAUCAUGCACUUACUUCCCAAUAGACAUGUUUUAUAUUAAAUCAUACAUAAUGUCUGCCGAGAUAUUCUUUUUCUCUUUAUGAUAAUAUUGUAAAAAUUGCAAUAUAUGUGCACCGAAUGGACUCAAUCUAUUCUCAUCACACAUAUUCCUUACUAUAAGAUAUUUAGGAAGGAAAAC